rnacentral:pre_miRNA from 1 species
GGUCCAAAUUUGAAGUAAAGUAGAUUAGUAAGAACAGUGACCCUUCUAAACUACUCUACUUUGAGUUUGGGCCC